AAGGAUCAUUAAUGAAUUCACUAUGGAGUUGUUGCUGGCCUCUAGGGGCAUGUGCACGCUUCACUAGUCUUUCAACCACCUGUGAACUUUUGAUAGAUCUGUGAAGUCGUCUCUCAAGUCGUUAGACUUGGUUUGCUGGGAUGUAAACGUCUCGGUGUGACUACGCAGUCUAUUUACUUAUAACACCCCAAAUGUAUGUCUACGAAUGUCAUUUAAAGGGCCUUGUGCCUAUAAACCAUAAUACAACUUUCAACAACGGAUCUCUUGGCUCUCGCAUCGAUGAAGAACGCAGCGAAAUGCGAUAAGUAAUGUGAAUUGCAGAAUUCAGUGAAUCAUCGAAUCUUUGAACGCACCUUGCGCCCCUUGGUAUUCCGAGGGGCAUGCCUGUUUGAGUGUCAUUAAAUUCUCAAACUCACUCUGGUUUUUUCCAAUUGUGAUGUUUGGAUUGUUGGGGGCUGCUGGCCUUGACAGGUCGGCUCCUCUUAAAUGCAUUAGCAGGACUUCUCAUUGCCUCUGCGCAUGAUGUGAUAAUUAUCACUCAUCAAUAGCACGCAUGAAUAGAGUCUGGCUCUCUAACCGUCCGCAAGGCAAUUUGACAAUUUGACCUCAAAUCAGGUAGGACUACCCGCUGAACUUAA
rnacentral:rRNA from 1 species